AAGAGCAGAGCGCGCGUGCGCAAGUCUCCCCGCACCCGUCGGUCCCGGGACGCCACGCACGCGCCGCGCGCGCACUCGAUGCGUUCCGAGUCACCCGGGAAGUGGGGAAACAGCCCUGGGCUCCACCACAGCAACACCGUGCAAGGUCUCACACUCCAGCCCUCAGUUGUACCAACGGUAAGAGCCGAGGAUAGAAGAAGACAUUGGUCUCAGCCACGUCCAUGGAGGUAACCAGCUGUCGGACGUAGGCACGGUCGUCAGUAGUGACUUCAGCUCCAGGCUGCAGGACAUCACUCUUCAACACACAGUUCAGGACUGACCCGUACUCGUCCGGACCCGCAUCACAGCAUCAAAGCCAACAACCUUCUGUACAUCCCGACGCAAGUCACUCAGGAACCGUUCCUGGUCAUUCUCCACCUGCAGCCCCCCAGGCCCAGAGUCACAUCAC